rnacentral:rRNA from 1 species
GACGAACGCUGGCGGCGUGCCUAAUACAUGCAAGUCGAGCGGGCCUCCGGAGGUGCUUGCACCUCCGGAAGGCCAGCGGCGGACGGGUGAGUAACACGUGGGCAACCUGCCUUUGAGGCCGGGAUAACACCGGGAAACCGGUGCUAAUACCGGAUACGUCCUCUUUCGCGCCUGCGAGAGGGGAGAAAGACGGUCUUUAAGGCCGUCGCUCAAAGAGGGGCCCGCGGCGCAUUAGCUGGUUGGUGGGGUAAGGGCCUACCAAGGCGACGAUGCGUUGCCGACCUGAGAGGGUGAUCGGCCACACUGGGACUGGGACACGGCCCAGACUCCUGCGGGAGGCAGCAGUAGGGAAUCAUCCGCAAUGGGCGAAAGCCUGACGGUGCAACGCUGCGUGUGUGAGGAAGGUUUUCGGAUCGUAAAGCUCUGUUGUGAGGGAAGAACAGCUUCCGGAGGAAAUGCCGGAGGUUUGCCGGUACCUCACCAGAAAGCCCCGGCUAACUACGUGCCAGCCGCCGCAGUAA